AAACUAACAAGGAUUCCCCUAGUAACUGCGAGUGAAGCGGGAAAAGCUCAAAUUUAAAAUCUGGCGGUCUUUGGCCGUCCGAGUUGUAGUCUGGAGAAGCGUUUUCCGCGUUGGACCGUGUACAAGUCUCUUGGAACAGAGCGUCAUAGAGGGUGAGAAUCCCGUCUUUGACACGGACUACCAAUGCUUUGUGAUGCGCUCUCAAAGAGUCGCGUUGUUUGGGAAUGCAGCGCAAAAUGGGAGGUGAAUUCCUUCUAAAGCUAAAUAUUGGCGAGAGACCGAUAGCGAACAAGUACCGUGAGGGAAAGAUGAAAAGCACUUUGGAAAGAGAGUUAAACAGUACGUGAAAUUGCUGAAAGGGAAACGCUUGAAGUCAGUCGCGUCGUCCGGAACUCAGCCUUGCUUCGGCUUGGUGCACUUUCCGGAUGACGGGCCAGCAUCGAUUUUGACCGCUGGAAAAGGGCUGGAGGAAUGUGGCACCUUCGGGUGUGUUAUAGCCUUCAGUCGCAUACAGCGGUUGGGAUCGAGGAACGCAGCACGCCUUAUGGCUGGGGUUCGCCCACAUUCGUGCUUAGGAUGCUGGCAUAAUGGCUUUAAACGACCCGUCUUGAAACACGGACCAAGGAGUCUAACAUGCCUGCGAGUGUUUGGGUGGAAAACCCGAGCGCGUAAUGAAAGUGAAAGUUGAGACCUCUGUCGUGGAGGGCAUCGACGCCCGGACCUGAAGUUUUCUGACGGAUCCGCGGUAGAGCAUGUAUGUUGGGACCCGAAAGAUGGUGAACUAUGCCUGAAUAGGGUGAAGCCAGAGGAAACUCUGGUGGAGGCUCGUAGCGAUUCUGACGUGCAAAUCGAUCGUCAAAUUUGGGUAUAGGGGCGAAAGACUAAUCGAACCAUGCUAGUAGCUGGUUCCNGN
rnacentral:rRNA from 1 species